rnacentral:rRNA from 1 species
ACCUACGGGGGCAGCAGUGGGGAAUAUUGGUCAAUGGUCGGGAGACUGAACCAGCCAAGCCGCGUGAGGGAUGAAGGUACAGAGUAUCGUAAACCUCUUUUGUCAGGGAACAAAGGCGGGGACGCGUCCCCGGAUGAGUGUACCUGAAGAAAAAGCAUCGGCUAACUCCGUGCCAGCAGCCGCGGUAAUACGGAGGAUGCGAGCGGUAUCCGGAUUUAUUGGGUUUAAAGGGUGCGCAGGCGGUCUGUUAAGUCAGCGGUCAAAGCCCGGGGCUCAACCCCGGCCCGCCGUUGAAACUGGCAGUC